CCUUAACCAAUUUAAUAUGUUUGAUCCUUGGCUCAGGAUGAACGCUCGCCUAAUAAGCUUAACACAUGCAAGUCGAGCGAGAAACUCAAAAGUGCUUUUUCGGUCGAACAUUUGAGCGGAAAGCGGCGGACGGGUGAGUAACGCGUAGGCAACCUGCCCUUUGCAGAGGUAUAGCAUCGGGAAACUGAUAUUAAAACCUCAUAAAACCGGAAGUGCACAUGCACAUUUGGUCAAAGAUUUAUCGGCAAAGGAUGGGCCUGCGUCUGAUUAGUCAGUUGGUGGGGUAACGGCUCACCAAGGCAGUGAUCAGUAGCCGACCUGAGAGGGUGAUCGGCCACAUUGGAACUGAGACACGGUCCAGACUCCUGCGGGAGGCAGCAGUGGGGAAUAUUGCACAAUGGGGGAAACCCUGAUGCAGCAACGCCGCGUGAAGGAAGAAGGCCUUUGGGUCGUAUACUUCUGUCCUUGGGGAAGAAAAAAAUGACGGUACCCUUGGAGGAAGCCCCGGCUAACUACGUGCCAGCAGCCGCGGUAAUACGUAGGGGGCGAGCGUUAUCCGGAAUUAUUGGGCGUAAAGGGUGCGUAGGUGGUUUUUUAAGCGCAGGGUCUAAUGCACAGGCUUAACUUGUGUCCGCCUUGCGAACUGAAGGACUUGAGUGCAGGAGAGGAAA
rnacentral:rRNA from 1 species